UACGUAGGGUGCGAGCGUUAAUCGGAAUUACUGGGCGUAAAGCGUGCGCAGGCGGUUAUGCAAGACAGAUGUGAAAUCCCCGGGCUCAACCUGGGAACUGCAUUUGUGACUGCAUAACUAGAGUGUGGCAGAGGGAGAUGGAAUUCCGCGUGUAGCAGUGAAAUGCGUAGAUAUGCGGAGGAACACCAAUGGCGAAGGCAAUCUCCUGGGCCUGCACUGACGCUCAUGCACGAAAGCGUGGGGAGCAAACGGG
rnacentral:rRNA from 1 species